UACUGUUUUUACUGCCCUGUGGUUUCGCACUUUCUCAUUUUAGUAUCCUGUGGUUUAAAGUGUAUUAAUUUAGUUCCCUAUGGUUUUAUUUUUCUCUUUUCGUCAGUUCUUCCGCUAACAUUUCGUUAAAUUAUAUACAAAAAUCUUAGAUAUCUCACAUAAGUUUAUCAAGUAUUCACUUUAGUACCGUUUUGUUUUAACUUUGUCCACUGAUUUAACAAAAAAAAAAAAGAUAGUGAAAGAGAUAAUAAAAUAAGAAAAAUAAAACCGCAAAGUGAUACAUCCUUUCUCUCAAAACUCCAACUAGUCAUUUAAC
rnacentral:lncRNA from 1 species